GAUUGGCUAUGAGGAUUAAAAUUCAGCUUUAAAUGCCAGUUCUGCUUCAGAAAAUUCUUGAUUGAUAAAGCUGUUGUAUAUUCUGAGCCUAUA